rnacentral:rRNA from 1 species
UACAGAGGGGGCAAGCGUUGUUCGGAAUUACUGGGCGUAAAGGGCGCGUAGGCGGCCGCCUAAGUCAGACGUGAAAUCCCUCGGCUCAACCGGGGAACUGCGUCUGAUACUGGGUGGCUUGAAUUCGGGAGAGGGAUGCGGAAUUCCAGGUGUAGCGGUGAAAUGCGUAGAUAUCAAGAGGAACACCUGAGGUGAAGACGGGUUGCUGGGCCGACACUGACGCUGAUGCGCGAAAGCCAGGGGAGCAAACGGG